AGAAUCAACGCUGGCGGCGUGCCUAACACAUGCAAGUCGAACGAGAAAGUGGAGCAAUCCAUGAGUAAAGUGGCGACCGGGUGAGUAACACGUGACUAACCUACCUUCGAGUGGGGAAUAACCUCGGGAAACCGGGGCUAAUACCGCAUAAUGUCUUCGGACCAAAGGAGCAAUUCGCUUGAAGAGGGGGUCGCGGCCGAUUAGCUAGUUGGCGGGGUAACGGCCCACCAAGGCGAUGAUCGGUAGCCGGCCUGAGAGGGCGCACGGCCACACUGGAACUGAAACACGGUCCAGACUCCUACGGGAGGCAGCAGUGGGGAAUUUUGCGCAAUGGGGGAAACCCUGACGCAGCAACGCCGCGUGGGUGAUGAAGGUCUUCGGAUCGUAAAACCCUGUCGUCGGGGACGAAGGUGGCCAUUUGAAUAGGGUGGUUACUUGACGGUACCCGGAGAGGAAGCCCCGGCUAACUCUGUGCCAGCAGCCGCGGUAAUACAGAGGGGGCAAGCGUUAUUCGGAAUUAUUGGGCGUAAAGGGCGCGUAGGCGGUGAUUUAAGUGAGGUGUGCAAUCCCCGGGCUUAACCUGGGAACUGCACCUCAGACUGGAUCGCUAGAGUACUGGAGAGGGUGGUAGAAUUCCACGUGUAGCGGUGAAAUGCGUAGAGAUGUGGAGGAAUACCAGUGGCGAAGGCGGCCACCUGGACAGUAACUGACGCUGAGGCGCGAAAGUGUGGGUAGCAAACAGGAUUAGAUACCCUGGUAGUCCACACUGUAAACGAUGAACACUUGGUGUGGUGGGAGUUGACCCCUGCCGUGCCGUAGCUAACGCGAUAAGUGUUCCGCCUGGGGAGUACGGUCGCAAGGCUGAA
rnacentral:rRNA from 1 species